rnacentral:rRNA from 1 species
GAUGAACGCUAGCGGCAGGCCUAAUACAUGCAAGUCGAACGGUGUAGCAAUACACAGUGGCGCACGGGUGCGUAACACGUAUGCAACCUACCUUACAUUGGGGGAUAGCCUUUCGAAAGGGAGAUUAAUGCCGCAUAAGACAGUAACUAGGCAUCUAGUAGCUGUUAAAGAUUUAUCGAUGUAAGCUGGGCAUGCGUCCAAUUAGUUAGUUGGCGAGGUAAUGGCUCACCAAGACGAUGAUUGGUAGGGGAACUGAGAGGUCAAUCCCCCACACUGGCACUGAGAUACGGGCCAGACUCCUACGGGAGGCAGCAGUAGGGAAUAUUGGGCAAUGGGCGCAAGCCUGACCCAGCCAUGCAGCGUGCAGGAAGAAGGCGUUAUGCGUUGUAAACUGCUUUUAUACAGGAAGAAACGACCCUUGCGAGGGGCAUUGACGGUACUGUAUGAAUAAGCACCGGCUAACUCCGUGCCAGCCGCCGCCGUAAGAC